rnacentral:rRNA from 1 species
UGACCGAUAGUGAACCAGUACCGUGAGGGAAAGGCGAAAAGAACCCCGGCGAGGGGAGUGAAAAAGAACCUGAAACCGUGUACGUACAAGCAGUGGGAGCACGCUUCGGCGUGUGACUGCGUACCUUUUGUAUAAUGGGUCAGCGACUUAUAUUCUGUAGCAAGGUUAACCGAAUAGGGGAGCCGAAGGGAAACCGAGUCUUAACUGGGCGUUAAGUUGCAGGGUAUAGACCCGAAACCCGGUGAUCUAGCCAUGGGCAGGUUGAAGGUUGGGUAACACUAACUGGAGGACCGAACCGACUAAUGUUGAAAAAUUAGCGGAUGACUUGUGGCUGGGGGUGAAAGGCCAAUCAAACCGGGAGAUAGCUGGUUCUCCCCGAAAGCUAUUUAGGUAGCGCCUCGUGAAUUCAUCUCCGGGGGUAGAGCACUGUUUCGGCAAGGGGGUCAUCCCGACUUACCAACCCGAUGCAAACUGCGAAUACCGGAGAAUGUUAUCACGGGAGACACACGGCGGGUGCUAACGUCCGUCGUGAAGAGGGAAACAACCCAGACCGCCAGCUAAGGUCCCAAAGUCAUGGUUAAGUGGGAAACGAUGUGGGAAGGCCCAGACAGCCAGGAUGUUGGCUUAGAAGCAGCCAUCAUUUAAAGAAAGCGUAAUAGCUCACUGGUCGAGUCGGCCUGCGCGGAAGAUGUAACGGGGCUAAACCAUGCAC